GUCACUGAUGACAACGAGAGGGUACACUACAUUCUAACUGGUCUAGACUAUGAGUACAGUUCCUUUGUUACAUCGAUUCUCUGCCAUGUUGGAUCCAUCCCCCUUAGUGAUCUAUACUCUCAACUCUUGUGCUAUGAUA